AGGAUAGUACAACUAGAUUGUCAAGCCCAUGUGAUUUAGUUUCCUCUUCAUUAUAUUUUAAGUUUAAAAGUGGUGGAUUUAAAGAAAAUUAUUAAGUAAAUCUAUGACUGAUGGGUGCAACCAAAAGAAAUCCCCAAAGAGAUGUGAUUAAUUGAAGUUUAGGAAACAUUGAGCUGGUGCAUUCCAUCAUCCUUUGAAAUGAAAAGAUUUAGGGGCAUCCAGAGAGGGCAGGAUCCAGAAUAUCUUUGUGCCAUGCCUUCUUUUUUAUCCAAAAAAUAUUGGUUAAAGAGGCAUCACUGCAAACCCAGAGCCUUUUUCUUCUCAGAAACCUGCCUUCUUUUGAUGCUCUCUUUCCUCAGAGCUUCUUUCAAGUUCUGACUUGCAGGGAUCCUGGGUAGCACCAAGCUAAUAGACAGGUUUACACAAACCCACAGCCCCAGAUCUACAACAGUUUUUAGCCCUCUGGAUGGAGAAAACCUGGGGAUGCUAGGAACCAUGAAAUUGACAGGAGCUUAGAGAGAGUCAUAGUCAUCAGGAAUAGUUUCAUGCCAGUGCACCACUAGAUGGACUUAGAAUCAUAUAUGUUGUUAUAUAUCAUCAUAUCAAUUACCACUUUUUGAGUGCCUACUAGGUAUCAGGCCACUGGACUUGGCCCUUUAUUAAUGAAUGUCAUUAUUCUCAGUUCUCACAUGGUCAUGCAAAAUUAUAUAAUGUUACCUGCAUUUUUACAGGUCAGGAAGGAAUCCCUGAGAUCACACAGCUUAACAAAGUCAAAUUUUGCAUCACAUGUCUGAUUUAAGAAUCUGGGCACUUAAGAAUUCCGCUCAGAGUUCCUGCUGUGGCACAGCGGGUUAAGGACCUGGCAUUGCCACAGCUAUGACAUAGGUUACAGUUGUGGCUCAGACUCAAUCUCUGGCCCAGGAACUUCCAUAUGCUGUGAGUGCAGCCAAAAAAAAAAAAAAAAAGGAAUUUUGUUCUUCUAUCAGAACUGCAGUUCUGUUGGGGCACAUAUGGAGGUUUUUCCUGCCUGGCCCAGCCUCCCACUCAGGCAUCCAACAAGCUCCUUUCCAAGCUGCCUAUGGAAUCUGAAGCAACAGUUACGCUGUUUCCCUUCCAGCUACACUCUCCACCACAUGUCUUCACCAAGGCAGGGCUCCUGCCCCAAACUGAAACCAAUUACCCAAAGAGGCAUUCUUCAGGUGAGGCCCAUCCCUCCUUAUACCCCCGGGGCUUGAGGGUCCCUAAACUCAGAAAGGUUCAGAUGAUGAUCAGAGCAUCACUCUUUCCCCCAAGAAACAGGAGUCCACAAUCCUGGGCUCAUCCACGUGUUUCUAAAGAGAUUGCUUUCCCGUUGACCUUCCACUCAUGAUGAGCAUCUCUUAGAACAGAGCCUCGACCUGCCAUUCCCUCUGCCUGGCACAGUUUUCUCCCAGGGACUCACCAAGUUUCUCCUUCACUUUCUCCAGGUCUUUGCUCAAAUGUCACAUCUAUCGAGGCCUUCCUCAACCACCCAUGUCUUCUGCAGUCCCCUUACCCUGCUUCAUUUUGUAUAGCCCUCAUCUCCCCCUGAAACUUUUGAGUACACACUUAGCGGCUAUCUCCCUUGUUCCAUGAGGGUAAAGGCUCUGAGUUGUGCCUUCCUGUUUCCAUGAGUACAUGGAAGGCACUAAAUAAAUGUUUGUUGAAUGAAUGAAUGUGAGAACAAGUCAGCGGGGGUGUAAGGCAAAAGGAAAUAGAAAUGUAAGCAAGCUAGACACCUACAGAGCCAAGCCUAAUCUCAAUUUUGCAAUCUGUGACAAGUCACUGACACUAUAUGGCAGGAACUCAUCUAGGUGCUGGGGAAUCAGCAUGAACAAAACAGACAGAAAUCCAUGCCUGAUGGGAGCUUACAGCAUAGUAUAAACGACAGACCAUAAAUUCAUUAAAUAAACUAUAUAGUAUUUUAGGUGGCACCAAGGCCCUCUAAAGGAAAAUAAAGCCAAGAAGGGGAAUAAAGAGUACUAGGGAGAGAAGGCUGUGUGAAUUUUUUUUUUUUUUCGGUCUUUUUAGGGCUGCAUCUGCAGCAUAUGGAAAUUCCCAGGACAAGGGUUGAAUUGGAGUUGUAGCUACAGGCCUACCCCACAGCCACAGCAACUCGGGAUCCCAGCCAUGUCUGUGACCUACACCACAGCUCAUGGUAACGCUGGAUCCUUAACCCACUGGGCAAGCCUGGGGAUCGAACCUACAUCCUCGUGGAUACUGGUUGGGUUCAUUAACUGCUGAGCCACGAUGGGAACUUUUAUGUGCAAUUUUUAACAGAGGAGCCACAGAAGUCCUCAGUGGAAAGGUGACAUUUGAGCAGAGAUCUGAGGGGGUGACAGGGUGGGCCAUGCAGGUAUCUGGAGGAAGGACACUUGCAGGCAGAGGGAACACAAGAGCUGCCAGGGGAGUCAAGGACAGUAAGGAGGUCUCAGGGGCUGGAGGAGAGCAAGGGACCAGGAGAGAACUUGCAAGUGAGGUCAGGUGGGCAAUGGGGCAAGUGUGGCUUGUAAGUCAACUGCAAGGACUUUGGAUUUGAGGGGGAAGGUUAGAGAGGGGAAUGGAGGUCACACCUGACCUCGGGAAGAGCUCAAGGGGGACAGAAACUUGGGUUCCUGCCUUCACCCUCAGCUCUAAGAAGUGGGCCCUUUCAUCCCAAACACCAAAAAAACAGGAUUCUCUCCUCCCUCAGCCACCUCUCCCUAUAAUUCUGCCCCAGGGAGCUCUGAGCUUAGUGAAAUGCCAUCCUCCUGCUUCAAGUAAAACUUUUUCCUUGGAGCCUAACCCUAAAAAAAAAGAAAAAAAAAUUCUAAUAAUUACACCAAGGCUCCCUAGUUUACAGAAUGCUUUAUACAUACACCCUUUCAGGUAACCUUCCAACCUUCAAUCAUAGAUUGAUCUUUACAUAUGACAGAGGCUAAUUCGACAGUCACUUCUAAGUGUAUGUCACUAAGGCUUGAUAUUCAUGAUAUUCACAAAUAUAUUCAUGAUAUUGAACUUGAUAUUCAUGAAUAUGUUAGUGAACUUGAUAUUCAUGAAUAUGUUCUUAAAAUGUUCUGAAGAUUCUGAUUCUAUUUUAUACUAAGUCUGGCUGCUGCACAGUGCUUGUCAAUGAUGCAAAACUCUGACCCGAUAUCAAAUGGAAUUCCCCUAAAAUGUUCUGAGUGGGGCAUAUAACCCACUAGACCUGGGUUAAGAAUCACCACUCUUAAGACCCUUCUUUGCCCCUGAUCUAAGAAACCCUUUUCCAGCCUCUCUCAUUCAGAGUAUAACAUGGCGAAACCCCAGUUUUCUAUCUGAUACAGGAAUCACCUCCUUCUUUUGUCAUGAAGAUUAGCCCCCAAGACUGAGGAGAAAACAGGUUAGGGAGAUGAGACAGAAAAUUCCCUCCAAUGGCUAUCACGUGACUUGGUAUGGGGGGCCAGUGUUGUGGUAAGGAAAAAGCAAGGCAGUUUUUACACUAGGUUUAUCAGCUGUGCAUCUUCCACUGACAUUCGGCCAAGGAACCUAUCUGAACGUUGAACCACGUAAGUGACUCGGGUUUUUUUCUUCUUUUGGCCACUGCAUUUGGCAGUUAUCUUUGUUAAGUAUUUUCUCAAGUCAUCAGCUUGGGAAACACAUUUCAGGUUGUUGAAAAUCCCUCCAGCAGGUAAUUUAGCACAGGAUGGACUGAGGAGCAGGGAUGAAGUUUCUGAUAAAAUCUGGGGUGGGUAUGUAUUGCAGUAGUCUUCUUGGUCCACUCUCCUUCCUGGAGAGUCUUUGUGACCUUCUCUCUACCUGACUAGGCAGCCUUAGAGGACCAGCUUCCUUAAUACCCAUGCAUUCACCGUUUACAGAUGGAGGCUGUGACCUGACCUGUACGAUGGCACAUCUAGUAAAUGUGAGGUAGUCAUAAAUGAGAGGUGCAAUGGCGAGCAUGUUAGGCCAAGAAUUCUAAGCCUUCUCUUUGACUGGCAAGCUCUGUGACUUAACAUCACUGAACUUGUUUCCUGCUAGCUGGUUCAAUGAUUUCCAAGAUGUCUUCUAGCUGUAGCACACUAUGAUCCUGAUUAUCAUCGAGAUAAUAAGGGACAAAAUAACAGGAAAAGCAAGGCAGUCCAGUGGUGUGAAUGUCUUAGGACCUAGUGGAAUUCUGUGAUUUAAUGAAAAAAGAUAGGAAAAAGGAGUAAAAACUCUCCUAUGCAUCCGUUACUUAGUCCUUUUGUGACCACAGGGGCUUUGAGAAGGGAUAGCUGAGGCUCCUUUCAGGCCUGUCAUCUAUGACUCUGGUUCAGUAGAGGGAAACUGGGGUCUGGAGACCCGAGACUGAAGCCCAGCCCAGCCACUAUCUUAACCAUGCUUAGCUCCAGUGAUUUCAUCAGUAAGAUAGAUCUAAUAUUACCUCAUGGAGUUGACUGCAGUAAUGUUUGUUUAGGUAGCUCUAAGUAGUAAACUACUUAUCUACCUGGUAGUCAUCUAUGAUUAUAGGAUCCUUUUAAUAGACUCCAGGUCUUCUGCAUCAAUGGCUCUUGCUCCAACCAUCAUGUCCUUCCACCUCUAACUGAGGCAUAGUCCUUUGUAAUUGACUUGAAUCUUACAGUUACAUUUCUGCUGACAAUAGCCAUUUUGACAAUUCUCAGCAAAAUCAAAGUAAUUCCUUUCUCUCUGUGAAAAUGUGUUAAUGAAGCAAGAUCUGGGCAUAAGAGAUGACAGGUUGAGGCAAUAACAGCAGAAAACCUAGGGACUCCCCUAAAUGUCAACACUCAAAUGAUAGCACACAUCAAAGAAGCUGCCAAAAUUUGAUGCUUAGACCUCAGAAACCCUUGCAGAGUUCUGUGUCUCCAGCUAACUUGCUCUGCUCCACCCAUUCCCUUCCAAGCAGACGGGCAAAGAGGCAGUAAGGUUUUUUUGUCAUGAUGUCUGAAGUGAUACACUGAUGGCACAUUUCAUCUUUGGAAAUGGGACUCAACUCAGGGUGGAACCUAGUAAGUUAUGCAUCUUACUUCAGUGUGUCUAUUCCCUGUCAUUACUGUGAAUGAAUGGAGCUUCUUGGGGAAUUAGAAGGUACUACAUGGGAAAUCCAUUGGUUUUGUUGUGGCCAAGAGCCAGGGUAAAAUUUGAGGACAAAUUCAUUAGGUUUCUCUUAAGAAAAUAUUCUGGGUAUGCUUGGAAACUCUGUACAGAGGAUCAGUAUUAAUGUCUUCUGCAGUUGCUUAAAUAAAGUCCUUAUCCAGGUUUAUGGCACCCUCCCUGGUCAGGGACUGGGGUCAGGGAAAAGGCAAGUACUAGAUAAGGAGAGUCUUUCCACUGCUUAUGAGGAACGAGUCAUGAUGACAGUGUAGGAAGAGGGAGGGUUAGAGUGAAGAAAAAUAGUACUAAAGAAGGAGUUAGAAGAGCCUUCUCUCCCUCAGAUGACAAAAUCCAAUUUGCCCUUGUAUCUUUUUGCUGAGAAUUUGCAUUAAAUCAUGGUGCAUGGCUCACACUAAAUGAUUUCCAAGGUCCCAUCCUCGGCUGGGUCUGCUGAGAAGAGUUACGCGAUCAUCUGCCUUGUUAACCCUGAAUCUGAGGACUCCGCACAGAGUUCAGGAGCCUAUGUCCAAUGUAGAAAUAGAGCCCCCACCUUUAAGACAGUAGCACAGUAAUGGUGCUCUCCUAGAGACUGUGUCUGUUGGCAACCUGUUCCUGUGUUUGGAAAUCCAGGGGCUGUAUUCAGGCAGUUUGGGUAGCUGCCAAGAGCCAGUCACUGGGACCAGUCCAGAGAACAACCAUUUUUCAGAAGCUUUCCAAAAUGCCAGCACCAAUUAGUUAGAUUCUGAUUUUGCUUGUUUCCAAGGAAAUGAAGAAGUGGGAAAAGGUACAUGAAUCAGGGGAGGCUAUCUGACAGUCCUGAAAGGGGCUGGUUGUGUCAACACUGUCUCUGCUUCUCAGAGGAUAAUAAAAACUUAUAGGUGUUCUUGCCUGCCUCUUGCUUCUGGGAAAUAGUGGGAUUUGGUGAGUUUCUUAUCUUUGAAGGGAGAGAGACUAGAGCAAUGAAAAAGAAGGGAGGGAAACAGAAUCAUGUUGUAACUGAUUGCAGUCUGAUUGAUGGUGGGCAAAUUGCAUCUGAGCCAAAAGUAUUGUGUUUCAUUUUGCCUUUAAAUCAUUUCCACUUGAAAUUCAGAGUUAUCUGCAGUGUUAGAAUCAAAUCUCUGAGGCUAUGCCUUUGGGAGUCAUAGGGAAUGAGGAAAGCACUGAAACUGAUGCUUAGCCCCUCUGUCAGGAUGCUGACCUGAGCUCUCCAGUCAUAUCCCAAUUGCUUCUCUGCUUUUCUUCUCCUUCAGUGAUCGAGUGUAAUGUGAUGCUAUGAAGCCCAGGUAGAGAGACUGAGAAUUUCAAAUCAAGCCCCCUAUCCUUAACGUUUUGAUAGCAAAUAAUGACCCUAUCCAACCAUCCUUUCCUUUGGCCUAGCUCUAGCCCUAGACUCUUGAUUUCUGGUGAUAAAACAGUAAUCUAUAUGGAAGUAUUUUGGGGGGAGGGGUUAAAUUUAUUUUUUAUUUAUUUAUUUAAAAAUUUUUUUAAUUAAAGUAUAGUUGAUUUACAAUGUU
rnacentral:lncRNA from 1 species